GCUUGCACGGACUUGACGUUGGUUUACCAGCGAGUGGCGGACGGGUGAGUAACACGUAGGUAACCUGCCCCAAAGCGGGGGAUAACAUUUGGAAACAGAUGCUAAUACCGCAUAACAAUUUGAAUCGCAUGAUUCAAAUUUAAAAGAUGGUUUCGGCUAUCACUUUGGGAUGGACCUGCGGCGCAUUAGCUUGUUGGUAGGGUAACGGCCUACCAAGGCUGUGAUGCGUAGCCGAGUUGAGAGACUGAUCGGCCACAAUGGAACUGAGACACGGUCCAUACUCCUACGGGAGGCAGCAGUAGGGAAUCUUCCACAAUGGGCGCAAGCCUGAUGGAGCAACACCGCGUGAGUGAAGAAGGGUUUCGGCUCGUAAAGCUCUGUUGUUAGAGAAGAACGUGCGUGAGAGCAACUGUUCACGCAGUGACGGUAUCUAACCAGAAAGUCACGGCUAACUACGUGCCAGCAGCCGCGGUAAUACGUAGGUGGCAAGCGUUAUCCGGAUUUAUUGGGCGUAAAGCGAGCGCAGGCGGUUUGAUAAGUCUGAUGUGAAAGCCUUUGGCUUAACCAAAGAAGUGCAUCGGAAACUGUCAGACUUGAGUGCAGAAGAGGACAGUGGAACUCCAUGUGUAGCGGUGGAAUGCGUAGAUAUAUGGAAGAACACCAGUGGCGAAUGCGGCUGUCUGGUCUGCAACUGACGCUGAGGCUCGAAAGCAUGGGUAGCGAACAGGAUUAGAUACCCUGGUAG
rnacentral:rRNA from 1 species